GGCAAGCGUUGUUCGGAAUUACUGGGCGUAAAGGGCUCGUAGGCGGCCAACUAAGUCAGACGUGAAAUCCCUCGGCUUAACCGGGGAACUGCGUCUGAUACUGGAUGGCUUGAAUCCGGGAGAGGGAUGCGGAAUUCCAGGUGUAGCGGUGAAAUGCGUAGAUAUCCGGAGGAACACCAGUGGCGAAGGCGACUUUCUGGCCUGUUCUUGACGCUGAGGCGCGAAAGCUAGGGGAGCAAACGGG
rnacentral:rRNA from 1 species